AGAGUUUGAUCAUGGCUCAGGAUGAACGCUGGCGGCGUGCUUAACACAUGCAAGUCGAACGGGGAAUAUUCUGACAGAGACUUCGGUUGAAGUUGUUAUAUUCUUAGUGGCGGACGGGUGAGUAACGCGUGGGUAACCUGCCUCACACUGGGGGAUAACAGCCAGAAAUGGCUGCUAAUACCGCAUAAGCGCACAGCUUCGCAUGAAGCAGUGUGAAAAACUCCGG
rnacentral:rRNA from 1 species